GAUAAACGCUAGCGGCAGGCUUAACACAUGCAAGUCGAGGGGCAGCAUAGAUUGUAGCAAUACAAUUGGUGGCGACCGGCGCACGGGUGCGUAACGCGUAUGCAACCUACCCGUCACAGGGGGAUAAUCCGGAGAAAUCUGGUCUAAUACCCCAUAACAUAUGGAUCGGCAUCGGUUCAUGUUGAAAUUUUCGGAGGUGACGGAUGGGCAUGCGUAGCAUUAGCUUGUCGGUGAGGUAACGGCUCACCAAGGCGACGAUGCUUAGGGGGACUGAGAGGUUUUCCCCCCACACUGGUACUGAGACACGGACCAGACUCCUACGGGAGGCAGCAGUGAGGAAUAUUGGUCGAUGGGCGCAAGCCUGAACCAGCCAUGCCGCGUGCAGGAUGACGGCUCUAUGAGUUGUAAACUGCUUUUGUACGAGGGUAAAGUGGGUUACGUGUAACCUUUUGAAAGUAUCGUACGAAUAAGGAUCGGCUAACUCCGUGCCAGCAGCCGCCGUAA
rnacentral:rRNA from 1 species